AGGCAAUGAAACGCCUUCAGGCUGCUGGUAACGCAGUGAAGCGAGCCUCGGAUAACCUGGUGAAGGCGGCCCAGAAAGCUGCAGCCUUUGAAGACCAGGAGAAUGAAACAGUGGUGGUGAAGGAGAAGAUGGUUGGGGGCAUUGCCCAGAUCAUUGCAGCACAGGAAGAGAUGCUUCGGAAGGAACGAGAGCUGGAGGAGGCACGGAAGAAGCUGGCCCAGAUCCGGCAGCAGCAGUACAAGUUCCUGCCUUCAGAGCUUCGAGAUGAGCACUAGGGAAGCCACUUCUAUUUAAUGCAGACCCAGCCCAGAGACUGUGCCUGCCACUACCAAAGCCUUCUGGGCUGUCAGGGCCCUACCUGCCCAACCCCAGCACUCCCCAAAGUGCCUGCCAAACCCCGGGGCCUGGCCCUGCCCAGUCCCACUGCACAUGCCCUAUUCUCUCCCUGAUUCCAAGUGCCUUUUUAUACCCUAGGCCCUCUAAGUGCCUGCCCUUUCCCAGAGUAUUAACGCUCCGAGAGUAUUAUUAACGCUGCUGUACCUCAGUCUGAACCUGUCAGGGACCCAGCCCACUCAGCCCUGCCAGCAGCUUCCAGCCAGCGCCCACAGCCUCAUCCGCUCUCAACUCAUCCCUAUUUGAUACUACUUUUCCUCCACCCCAGCUAUGUCUGGGACUGCAGGGUUGUAAGCCCCAAACAGGUCAUGGUCCAAUAAAGAUAAUUCUACCUAGC